CAAUAGCGUAUAUUAAAGUUGUUGCAGUUAAAAAGCUCGUAGUUGGAUCUCGGGUCCAGGCUUGUGGUGCAGCUUAGGCUGCUUACUGCUCGUCCUGACCUACCUACCGGUUUUCCCUUGGUGCUCUUAAGUGAGUGUCUUGGGUGGCCGGAACGUUUACUUUGAGAAAAUUAGAGUGUUCAAAGCAGGCCUAUGCUCUGAAUAGGUUAGCAUGGAAUAAUAGAAUAGGACUUUGGUUCUAUUUUGUUGGUUUCUAGGACCGAAGUAAUGAUUAAUAGGGACAGUUGGGGGCAUUCAUAUUCCAUUGUCAGAGGUGAAAUUCUUGGAUUAACGGAAGAUGAACUUCUGCGAAAGCAUCUGCCAAGGAUGUUUUCAUUGAUCAAGAACGAAAGUUAGGGAUCGAAGAUGAUUAGAUACCAU
rnacentral:rRNA from 1 species